rnacentral:rRNA from 1 species
CGGCUACCACAUCUAAGGAAGGCAGCAGGCGCGCAAAUUACCCACUCUCAGAACGAGGAGGUAGUGAAUUUAAAUAGCGAUGAUGAACUCUUAUGAGGCUCGUCAAUCGAAAUGAGUACAACUUAAAUCCUUUAACGAGUACCAAUUGGAGGCAAGUCUGGUGCCAGCAGCCGCGGUAAUUCCAGCUCCAAUAGCGAAUAUUAAAUUUGUUGCAGUUAAAAAGCUCGUAGUUGGAUCCAAGGUUAGGCAUGCCUGUCUGUUCUUAGUAGCAUGACUGUGUGUGUCUGCCUUUAUUAGUUGAAUGUUCAUUAUGGUGGUCUUCAUCGACUGCUAUGAUGUGCUCAACACGUUUACCUUGAAAAAAUCAGAGCGAUCAAGGCAGGCCUUCGUGCUUGUAUGUUGUUACAAGGAAUAAUAGAAUAGGACUUCGGUUCUAUUUUGUUGGUUUUGAGAAUUGAAGUAAUGAACAAUAGAGACAGUCGGGGGCAUUUGUAUGGUGGCGUUAGAGGUGAAAUUCUGAGAUCGUCGCCAGACAAACUACUGCGAAAGCAUUUGCCAAGGAUGUCUUCAUUAAUCAAGAACGAAAGUCAGAGGUUCGAAGACGAUCAGAUACCGUCCUAGUUCUGACCAUAAACGAUGCCGACCUACAAUCGGGGGUGGUUUAUUAUAUUGACCCUCCCGGCUUCCUCAGGAAACUUUAAGUUGGUUCUGGGGGGAAUAUGGUCUCAAGACUGAAACUUAAAGGAAUUGACGGAAGGGCACCACCAGGAGUGGAGCCUGCGGCUUAAUUUGACCCAACACGGGGAAUCUCACCCGGUCCGGACACUGGUAGGAUGGACAGAUUGAUAGCUCUUUCUUGAUUCAGUGGGUGGUGGUGCAUGGCCGUUCUUAGUUGGUGGAGUGAUUUGUCUGGUUAAUUCCGAUAACGAACGAGACUCUGUCCUGCUAAAUAGUCCAGUGGCAUCAAUCACUAUGUGAUUACAGCUGCUGUUACUUCUUAGAGGGAUUCGCGGAUUUAAACCGCAAGAAAUAGAGCAAUAACAGGUCUGUGAUGCCCUUAGAUGUCCGGGGCCGCACGCGCGCUACAUUGACAGUAGAAGCGAGUAUUUCUACCUGGUUCGAAAGAAUUGGGAAAUCUUCGAAUUACUGUCUCCACAGGGAUUGAGGUUUGCUAUUUUGCCUCAUGAACGAGGAAUUCCCAGUAGGCGCAAGUCAUCAGCUUGCGUCGAUUACGUCCCUGCCCUUUGUACACACCGCCCGUCGCUACUACCGAUUGAGUGCAUUAGUGAGGACCUCGGAUUGAGAACAUAGUGGCGCAAGUUACUUUGUUUUCGAAAAGUGGUUCAAAUUUGUGCAUUUAGAGAUAGUAAAAGUCGUAACAAGGUU